CACGUGAGUAACCUGCCCUUGACUCUGGGAUAAGCCUGGGAAACUGGGUCUAAUACCGGAUACGACCAUCUGGCGCAUGUCAUGGUGGUGGAAAGCUUUUGUGGUUUUGGAUGGACUCGCGGCCUAUCAGCUUGUUGGUGGGGUAAUGGCCUACCAAGGCGACGACGGGUAGCCGGCCUGAGAGGGUGACCGGCCACACUGGGACUGAGACACGGCCCAGACUCCUACGGGAGGCAGCAGUGGGGAAUAUUGCACAAUGGGCGCAAGCCUGAUGCAGCGACGCCGCGUGAGGGAUGACGGCCUUCGGGUUGUAAACCUCUUUCAGUAGGGAAGAAGCGAAAGUGACGGUACCUGCAGAAGAAGCGCCGGCUAACUACGUGCCAGCAGCGCGGUAAUACGUAGGGCGCAAGCGUUAUCCGGAAUUAUUGGGCGUAAAGAGCUCGUAGGCGGUUUGUCGCGUCUGCUGUGAAAGACCGGGGCUCAACUCCGGUUCUGCAGUGGGUACGGGCAGACUAGAGUGCAGUAGGGGAGACUGGAAUUCCUGGUGUAGCGGUGAAAUGCGCAGAUAUCAGGAGGAACACCGAUGGCGAAGGCAGGUCUCUGGGCUGUAACUGACGCUGAGGAGCGAAAGCAUGGGGAGCGAACAGGAUUAGAUACCCUGGUAGUCCAUGCCGUAAACGUUGGGCACUAGGUGUGGGGGACAUUCCACGUUUUCCGCGCCGUAGCUAACGCAUUAAGUGCCCCGCCUGGGGAGUACGGCCGCAAGGCUAAAACUCAAAGGAAUUGACGGGGGCCCGCACAAGCGGCGGAGCAUGCGGAUUAAUUCGAUGCAACGCGAAGAACCUUACCAAGGCUUGACAUGAACCGGAAAGACCUGGAAACAGGUGCCCCGCUUGCGGUCGGUUUACAGGUGGUGCAUGGUUGUCGUCAGCUCGUGUCGUGAGAUGUUGGGUUAAGCCGCAACGAGCGCAACCCUCGUUCUAUGUUGCCAGCGCGUUAUGGCGGGGACUCAUAGGAGACUGCCGGGGUCAACUCGGAGGAAGGUGGGGACGACGUCAAAUCAUCAUGCCCCUUAUGUCUUGGGCUUCACGCAUGCUACAAUGGCCGGUACAAAGGGUUGCGAUACUGUGAGGUGGAGCUAAUCCCAAAAAGCCGGUCUCAGUUCGGAUUGGGGUCUGCAACUCGACCCCAUGAAGUCGGAGUCGCUAGUAAUCGCAGAUCAGCAACGCUGCGGUGAAUACGUUCCCGG
rnacentral:rRNA from 1 species